rnacentral:rRNA from 1 species
AUGCAAUUGCNUCACUCANAGAUGAUCCCGCGUUGUAUUAGCUAGUUGGUGAGGUAANGGCUCACCAAGGCGAUGAUACAUAGCCGACCUGAGAGGGUGAUCGGCCACAUUGGGACUGAGACACGGCCCAAACUCCUACGGGAGGCAGCAGUAGGGAAUCUUCGGCAAUGGACGAAANUCUGACCGAGCAACGCCGCGUGAGUGAANAAGGUUUUCGGAUCGUAAAACUCUGUUGGUAGAG